CAAUUCACACAACACAAUGGCAAAGAUUCAACUCUCGUCUAUAGUUUUGCAGCUUUUGUUCCUCUGUCUUCUGGUUUCAAUGACUCUUGCAAUAGGUGAGAAUGGCAUUGUCACCAGAAAACUUCUUCAAGGAUGUAAAAAUGUUCUUGAAGGAUGCUCGAAGGAUAGUGAUUGUUGCCAAGGCCACUGUGCCCUUGCAGGCUUUAACAUUGGAGGCAUUCCUGUUGGAACAUGCGAGCCUAUCUAAUUAAUGUUUACUAAUUAGAAAGUUUCAAACUGCUGAAACUUUAUUCAUGUGAAACCUUAUGUUUUUCAAUAAUAAUAAAUAUCUUUGAAGCUUU